UGCCCCAGUAACGGCGAGUGAAGCGGCAACAGCUCAAAUUUGAAAUCUGGCCCCCCGGGGCCCGAGUUGUAAUUUGCAGAGGAUGCUUUUGGCGAGGCGCCUUCCGAGUUCCCUGGAACGGGACGCCACAGAGGGUGAGAGCCCCGUCUGGUUGGAUGCCGAGCCUCUGUAAAGCUCCUUCGACGAGUCGAGUAGUUUGGGAAUGCUGCUCUAAAUGGGAGGUAUAUGUCUUCUAAAGCUAAAUAUUGGCCAGAGACCGAUAGCGCACAAGUAGAGUGAUCGAAAGAUGAAAAGCACUUUGAAAAGAGGGUUAAAUAGUACGUGAAAUUGUUGAAAGGGAAGCGCUCAUGACCAGACUUGGGCCCGGUGAAUCAUCCAGCGUUCUCGCUGGUGCACUUUGCCGGGCUCAGGCCAGCAUCAGUUCGCCCCGGGGGAGAAAGGCUCUGGGAAUGUGGCUCCUCCGGGAGUGUUAUAGCCCUCUGCGCAAUGCCCUGGGGCGGACUGAGGUCCGCGC
rnacentral:rRNA from 1 species